CAGUAGCCGCGGUAAUACGGAGGGGGCUAGCGUUGUUCGGAAUUACUGGGCGUAAAGCGCACGUAGGCGGCUUUACAAGUCAGAGGUGAAAGCCUGGUGCUCAACACCAGAAUUGCCUUCGAGACUGUAUCGCUUGAACGUCGGAGAGGUGAGUGGAAUUUCCGGUGUAGCGGUGAAAUGCGUAGAUAUCGGAAGGAACACCUGUGGCGAAAGCGGCUCACUGGACCAUAACUGACGCUGAUGCACGAAAGCUAGGGGAGCAAACAGGAUUAGAUACCCCUGUAGUCCCUGUCUCUUAUAC
rnacentral:rRNA from 1 species